AUGUCCGGCCCCGACCUACGAGGCCGGUGGACAGAGGAGGACGUGCUAAAGCUAAGAGACGCCAGGUACUUAACCUACGAGAUUUCGCAUAGGCUGCCUGCCCGAGGGCAAGUUAUUCCUACUCCCGAGCGCGGCGAGAGCGUCGUGUUUGUGUCUCACCUCCGUCGGGGUUUAGGCUUCCCGACGGAUCCCUUCGUGAGGGGGCUCAUGUUUUACUAUGGGAUGGAAUUCCAUGACUUGGCUCCGGAGUCUAUCCUCCACAUCUCAUCAUUCAUUGUCGUCUGCGAAGCCUUCCUCGCACUACCCCUCACUUCGGUUUGUGGCUCAAAACCUUCAACGUGGAGCCGAAGGUGA
rnacentral:rRNA from 1 species